rnacentral:rRNA from 1 species
AACGAACGCUGGCGGCAGGCUUAACACAUGCAAGUCGAGCGCCCCGCAAGGGGCGCGGCAGACGGGUGAGUAACGCGUGGGAACGUACCUUUUGGUUCGGAACAACUCCGGGAAACUGGAGCUAAUACCGGAUAAGCCCUAACGGGGAAAGAUUUAUCGCCGAAAGAUCGGCCCGCGUCUGAUUAGCUAGUUGGUGAGGUAACGGCUCACCAAGGCGACGAUCAGUAGCUGGUCUGAGAGGAUGAUCAGCCACACUGGGACUGAGACACGGCCCAGACUCCUACGGGAGGCAGCAGUGGGGAAUAUUGGACAAUGGGCGCAAGCCUGAUCCAGCCAGGCCGCGUGAGUGAUGAAGGCCUUAGGGUUGUAAAGCUCUUUUGUCCGGGAAGAUAAUGACUGUACCGGAAGAAUAAGCCCCGGCUAACUUCGUG